AGAUUAGGUUGUUGGUAAUUUAGUAGCUUACCAAGCCUUUGAUCUUUAGUUGGUCUUAGAGGAUGAUCAACCACACUGGAACUGAAAUAAGGUCCAGGCUGACAUGUCGGCCAGCAGUGAGGAAUAUUGGACAAUGAACGAAAGUUUGAUCCAGCAAUACUAACUGGGUGAUGACGGCUUAUUUAAGUUGUAAGAUCCUUUAAUUAAAGAAGAUAAUGACAUUAUUUAAUUGAAUUAGUCCUGGCUAAUACUCGUGCCAGCAGCCGCGGUAAUACGGGAAGGGCAAGCGUUAUCCGGCAUGACUGGGCGUAAAGAGUCCGUAGACUGUAAAGUAAGUUUUUUGUCAAAUUUUAAAACUCAAUUUUAAAACAGCAAUUAAUACUACUUUACUUUGAGUUUAAUACAGAAAAGUAGAAUUUUAUACGAAGGAGUGAAAUCUGUAGAUAUAUAAAGGAAUGCCAGUAGCGAAGGCGACUUUUUGGUGUAAACUGACGUUGAGGGACGAAAGUGUGGGUAGCAAACAGGAUUAGAGACCCUGGUAGUCCACACCGUAAAUUCUGAGUGCUGUAAUUUAAUUGUAAUAUUUUAAAUAUUAUUUAGAUUUUCAAGCUAACGCAAUAAGCACUCCGCCUGAAGAGUACGAUCGCAAGAUUGGAACUCAAAGGAAUUGACGGGGGUCUAACACUAGUGGUGGAGCAUGUGGUUUAAUGCGAUAAUCCGCGCAGAACCUUACCAAUUCUUGACAUA
rnacentral:rRNA from 1 species